UUUAAAUCUUUUUUAAAGUUAAUAGAAGUGUAUCCUAUAUUUUAUUAAUAACUUUUCUUAUUUAUUUAUUUAUUUAUUUUGAGUACAAGUAACUUUUCUUAUAUUAAUAUCACAAAAUUAUUAAAAAAAAUAAUAAUAUGAAAGGAAUUAAUUAAAUGUUGGUAUUAAGUGUAAGAGUGACACAUAACACUACUACAAAUAUAUCUUUUAUUUUCGGUUUUUUUCUUUAAUAAAUUAAAAUUUCGAAGAUAAAACUAUUUUAAGACCAAUAUGAUCGCUUUUAAAUUUUUGCCAAAUAAAAUUUUAGUUAUAUUUUCGGUGUUUAUAGAUAACCGAAGUUAAAAGUAUUUAAUUUUUUAUUUAAUGCUUGCUCUUUUGUUUAAGAAAAGCUUUGUCUUCGGUAAUUAGAAAUGACCGAAAUCAAAGGCUUCCACGCGGAGAACUUUGUUUUUUGUUAUUAGAUAAUAACCGAAGACUAAAGUCUUCUUAUUCCCACAAAUAAAGCAAAGGGACCGACCUUUCAAUUUACCCCCAAAUUGUCGAAACCCUUAACCCCACGAUCCUCAAACCCUCAACUUCUCAAACUCUUCGCUUACAGCUACCCCGACGACAAGGACGAGGACGAGGACGGCGGUGGACUGACUGAAGCUCUCUGCUCCGACUAACCUCCUCAAUGGAUUUUCUUCUGGUAUUGACUUGUUUUCGUUUAAAGAUCUUCUUCCAUUAGUCUCUUCUUCACAUCACCUACAAAUAAUGUUAAAAAAUUGUCAUUGGUUCAUUGGGUGCAUUUGUACAGUUUGGUGGGUUUUGUGGUUCCUGUACAAUGC